rnacentral:rRNA from 1 species
AGUGAACGCUGGCGGCGUGCCUAAUACAUGCAAGUCGAACGACCGCACAGUAAGCUUUCGCCUCUAACGUUGGCGACUGACGGAUGGGUGACGAAUACAUAGGCUUCCAAUAUUACUUGGAGGACAUCGUAAGGAAACAUCUGCUAACACAGCAUAUGUUCUACCGGAUGAAUCAGUAGAUCUUCGCACUUUGCCUGUCUCUUAUAGCUGAUGUCGGAUUAGCUAGUUGGCGGGGUAAAGGCCCACCAAGGCGACGAUCCGUAGCUGGUCUGAGAGGAUGAUCAGCCACACUGGAACUGAGACACGGUCCAGACUCCUACGGGAGGCAGCAGUGGGGAAUAUUGGGCAAUGGGCGCAAGCCUGAUCCAGCCAUACCGCGUGGGUGAAGAAGGCCUUCGGGUUGUAAAGCCCUUUUGUUGGGAAAGAAAAGCAGCAGGUUAAUACCCCGCUGUUCUGACGGUACCCAAAGAAUAAGCACCGGCUAACUUCGUG